UACGAAGGGGGGCUAGCGUUGCUCGGAAUCACUGGGCGUAAAGCGCACGUAGGCGGAUUGCUAAGUCAGGGGGUGAAAUCCUGGAGCUCAACUCCAGAACUGCCUUUGAUACUGGCAAUCUCGAGUCCGGGAGAGGUGAGUGGAACUGCGAGUGUAGAGGUGAAAUUCGUAGAUAUUCGCAAGAACACCAGUGGCGAAGGCGGCUCACUGGCCCGGUACUGACGCUGAGGUGCGAAAGCGUG
rnacentral:rRNA from 1 species